rnacentral:rRNA from 1 species
UUAAGCGACUAAGCGUACACGGUGGAUGCCCUGGCAGUCAGAGGCGAUGAAGGACGUGCUAAUCUGCGAUAAGCGUCGGUAAGGUGAUAUGAACCGUUAUAACCGGCGAUUUCCGAAUGGGGAAACCCAGUGUGUUUCGACACACUAUCAUUAACUGAAUCCAUAGGUUAAUGAGGCGAACCGGGGGAACUGAAACAUCUAAGUACCCCGAGGAAAAGAAAUCAACCGAGAUUCCCCCAGUAGCGGCGAGCGAACGGGGAGCAGCCCAGAGCCUGAAUCAGUGUGUGUGUUAGUGGAAGCGUCUGGAAAGGCGCGCGAUACAGGGUGACAGCCCCGUACACAAAAAUGCACAUGCUGUGAGCUCGAUGAGUAGGGCGGGACACGUGGUAUCCUGUCUGAAUAUGGGGGGACCAUCCUCCAAGGCUAAAUACUCCUGACUGACCGAUAGUGAACCAGUACCGUGAGGGAAAGGCGAAAAGAACCCCGGCGAGGGGAGUGAAAAAGAACCUGAAACCGUGUACGUACAAGCAGUGGGAGCACAGAGCAAUCUGUGUGACUGCGUACCUUUUGUAUAAUGGGUCAGCGACUUAUAUUCUGUAGCAAGGUUAACCGAAUAGGGGAGCCGAAGGGAAACCGAGUCUUAACUGGGCGUUAAGUUGCAGGGUAUAGACCCGAAACCCGGUGAUCUAGCCAUGGGCAGGUUGAAGGUUGGGUAACACUAACUGGAGGACCGAACCGACUAAUGUUGAAAAAUUAGCGGAUGACUUGUGGCUGGGGGUGAAAGGCCAAUCAAACCGGGAGAUAGCUGGUUCUCCCCGAAAGCUAUUUAGGUAGCGCCUCGUGAAUUCAUCUCCGGGGGUAGAGCACUGUUUCGGCAAGGGGGUCAUCCCGACUUACCAACCCGAUGCAAACUGCGAAUACCGGAGAAUGUUAUCACGGGAGACACACGGCGGGUGCUAACGUCCGUCGUGAAGAGGGAAACAACCCAGACCGCCAGCUAAGGUCCCAAAGUCAUGGUUAAGUGGGAAACGAUGUGGGAAGGCCCAGACAGCCAGGAUGUUGGCUUAGAAGCAGCCAUCAUUUAAAGAAAGCGUAAUAGCUCACUGGUCGAGUCGGCCUGCGCGGAAGAUGUAACGGGGCUAAACCAUGCACCGAAGCUGCGGCAGCGACGCUGAUGCGUUGUUGGGUAGGGGAGCGUUCUGUAAGCCUGCGAAGGUGUGCUGUGAGGCAUGCUGGAGGUAUCAGAAGUGCGAAUGCUGACAUAAGUAACGAUAAAGCGGGUGAAAAGCCCGCUCGCCGGAAGACCAAGGGUUCCUGUCCAACGUUAAUCGGGGCAGGGUGAGUCGACCCCUAAGGCGAGGCCGAAAGGCGUAGUCGAUGGGAAACAGGUUAAUAUUCCUGUACUUGGUGUUACUGCGAAGGGGGGACGGAGAAGGCUAUGUUGGCCGGGCGACGGUUGUCCCGGUUUAAGCGUGUAGGCUGGUUUUCCAGGCAAAUCCGGAAAAUCAAGGCUGAGGCGUGAUGACGAGGCACUACGGUGCUGAAGCAACAAAUGCCCUGCUUCCAGGAAAAGCCUCUAAGCAUCAGGUAACAUCAAAUCGUACCCCAAACCGACACAGGUGGUCAGGUAGAGAAUACCAAGGCGCUUGAGAGAACUCGGGUGAAGGAACUAGGCAAAAUGGUGCCGUAACUUCGGGAGAAGGCACGCUGAUAUGUAGGUGAAGCGACUUGCUCGUGGAGCUGAAAUCAGUCGAAGAUACCAGCUGGCUGCAACUGUUUAUUAAAAACACAGCACUGUGCAAACACGAAAGUGGACGUAUACGGUGUGACGCCUGCCCGGUGCCGGAAGGUUAAUUGAUGGGGUUAGCGGUAACGCGAAGCUCUUGAUCGAAGCCCCGGUAAACGGCGGCCGUAACUAUAACGGUCCUAAGGUAGCGAAAUUCCUUGUCGGGUAAGUUCCGACCUGCACGAAUGGCGUAAUGAUGGCCAGGCUGUCUCCACCCGAGACUCAGUGAAAUUGAACUCGCUGUGAAGAUGCAGUGUACCCGCGGCAAGACGGAAAGACCCCGUGAACCUUUACUAUAGCUUGACACUGAACAUUGAGCCUUGAUGUGUAGGAUAGGUGGGAGGCUUUGAAGUGUGGACGCCAGUCUGCAUGGAGCCGACCUUGAAAUACCACCCUUUAAUGUUUGAUGUUCUAACGUUGACCCGUAAUCCGGGUUGCGGACAGUGUCUGGUGGGUAGUUUGACUGGGGCGGUCUCCUCCUAAAGAGUAACGGAGGAGCACGAAGGUUGGCUAAUCCUGGUCGGACAUCAGGAGGUUAGUGCAAUGGCAUAAGCCAGCUUGACUGCGAGCGUGACGGCGCGAGCAGGUGCGAAAGCAGGUCAUAGUGAUCCGGUGGUUCUGAAUGGAAGGGCCAUCGCUCAACGGAUAAAAGGUACUCCGGGGAUAACAGGCUGAUACCGCCCAAGAGUUCAUAUCGACGGCGGUGUUUGGCACCUCGAUGUCGGCUCAUCACAUCCUGGGGCUGAAGUAGGUCCCAAGGGUAUGGCUGUUCGCCAUUUAAAGUGGUACGCGAGCUGGGUUUAGAACGUCGUGAGACAGUUCGGUCCCUAUCUGCCGUGGGCGCUGGAGAACUGAGGGGGGCUGCUCCUAGUACGAGAGGACCGGAGUGGACGCAUCACUGGUGUUCGGGUUGUCAUGCCAAUGGCACUGCCCGGUAGCUAAAUGCGGAAGAGAUAAGUGCUGAAAGCAUCUAAGCACGAAACUUGCCCCGAGAUGAGUUCUCCCUGACUCCUUGAGAGUCCUGAAGGAACGUUGAAGACGACGACGUUGAUAGGCCGGGUGUGUAAGCGCAGCGAUGCGUUGAGCUAACCGGUACUAAUGAACCGUGAGGCUUAACCUU